rnacentral:antisense_RNA from 1 species
ACAGAUGAGGAUGAAAUUUGGGCUUGACUGAAGUAAUGGGGGCUGUCUGUGAAGCCUUGCGGCAGUACAGCCCAGUCUAUCUUUGUUGAAUUUUGGUAUUGAUUUUAUGUGUCAGUACCUGAGAAGUAGAGAAGUCCUUGAGUUGUUGUGUAAAUGUGGCUCAAGUGAGAUGCUGAACAGUGCCAGCCAUGUGGACUCUGCCACGGUGAAGGAGGAAGGCAGCACUGAGGAGUAAAGGAAUAUUUGGGAGGAUCAGAAGCUUGGUCCUGAUUUUGCCAUCAACCAGGACCUUGAUGACUUCAAGGGAGUCCCCAAACCCUGGGUUUCUGUUUUCUCAACUCUAACAUGAGGGGCUAGACGCAUCUGGUUUAGUUCGUCUCCAUGAUCCUGUGAAUUUCAGAUGUUGAAAAUCUUCAGAAAAGCCCUGAAAGAUGAAGAGUGGUCUCAAAUAGUCAAGACCCCCUGCUGGGGGGAGCGUCUAUCCUGCUCUGUGGAA